rnacentral:rRNA from 1 species
UUGGUAACGUCAAAAUUCACAGUUAUUAACCAUAAAUUAUUCCUCCCAACUGAAAGUGCUUUACAACCCUCAGGCCUUCUUCACACACGCGGCAUUGCUGGAUCAGGGUUUCCCCCAUUGUCCAAUAUUCCCC